rnacentral:rRNA from 1 species
GACGAACGCUGGCGGCGUGCCUAAUACAUGCAAGUAGAACGCUGAAGGAGGAGCUUGCUUCUCUGGAUGAGUUGCGAACGGGUGAGUAACGCGUAGGUAACCUGCCUGGUAGCGGGGGAUAACUAUUGGAAACGAUAGCUAAUACCGCAUAAGAUUGACUAUUGCAUGAUAGUCAGUUAAAAGGUGCAAUUGCAUCACUACCAGAUGGACCUGCGUUGUAUUAGCUAGUUGGUGGGGUAACGGCUCACCAAGGCGACGAUACAUAGCCGACCUGAGAGGGUGGUCGGCCACACUGGGACUGAGACACGGCCCAGACUCCUACGGGAGGCAGCAGUAGGGAAUCUUCGGCAAUGGACGGAAGUCUGACCGAGCAACGCCGCGUGAGUGAAGAAGGGUUUCGGAUCGUAAAGCUCUGUUGUAAGAGAAGAACGAGUGUGAGAGUGGAAAGUUCACACUGUGACGGUAUCUUACCAGAAAGGGACGGCUAACUACGUG